rnacentral:lncRNA from 1 species
CGGGAUUUCAAAAACAUAAAAAUCAUUAAAAACGGGGCUUGAAAUCACUUACUAUGAAGUUUGAAAGUUGAAGAAACCCCAGCUAUGGAGGAGAGAAAAAAUCGGCAGAACAAUAUGGAGAAGAUGAUCAUUUUGGGUUAUUUUUCCUAUUUUUAUUUCAUUUAAUAUCCAAAUGACCAAAAUGCCCUUACUACUAAACUUUCCAAAAAUUCCUUCCAUGUCCUAAUUUUGUCCAUGAACUUAAAAUUGGUCAAAUUACCAUUUAAGACCUCCUAAUUAAUAUUUCA